AUACAAUAAGAUAUGGCUAUAUAAAGAGAAGGGCGGCCCCAGGAAGUGCAGGUUUGUGGAUAUACUGUUUGUGUGUGGUAAAUGGAAAAAAUAGCCACAAUUCUCUUCUCCCUGUGUCCUUCUCCAUGUGACUUUAUAGCCUUUCCUGUCAAGAGGUGAAGUCUAUUUCUCCUCCCCUCGAAUCCAACUGGCCCAGUGAGAGAAUGCAGUGGGAGUACCAGAGAGCCAGUUCCCAGCCUGGACCUCAAGAAGCUUCACGUGCUUCCACUUGCACCACUGGAACCCUGCCCACCCUUUGUGUGAACAAGCCUGGUCUAGCCUGCUGGAGGGUGAAAGACCACAUGACGUGUGGAAGAGCCAGGCCAGCUGGGGCCACUUAGGCCAGCCAGCCCCUAGCCAACCCAGUAACUAACCACAGCUGCACGAAUGAGCUCAGCCAAGACCAGAUGGAUUGCCCAGUCCAGCCCAGUCCAGUUCAAAUUGCUGAUUCACAGACCUGCCAACUUUGCCAAGGCACCCACCAUCUCUGCUGCCAGUGCCCUCUUGAGGAAGGUCCCCACCGUGCCUAGCACCGAAUCCACUUGGGAGUCUCCUCUACCCAGCACCAGAGCUGCUCGGUGGGCUCUGGACGAGUGAGGGAAGGAAGGCGAGCCGCUCUGUUUCUGCUCGAGACUUCAGUGACCACAGCACUUCAGGGCUUGGGUCUACGCUUUCGGAUUUUAUGGUUUAUGGACAAAGCCUUAGGCUGGUGGGAGAGUAGAGAACUCGCAUCCUCUCUCUGCUAUCUUUCUUCCCCUUCUUUUUCCAAGUGCUCAUGCGAAAUAACACCCCUUCCUGUACUUGUAAGAUCCAAACUUAAGUUCCUUCCACAUCCCUUCCAUGCAUUUAGUCCCCCUCCCUUCACCUACACGACGCCUUGGUCAAUUCGUCAUGCUCGACAGGGCUUGGAUUUGAAAAAUACGAAUUUUAAUAAAAUAAUGUACAUCCUUCAAAAGGGAAUAUGUUGUCUUCAGCAUCCUUUAAUGAUCUGGUUGUAGCUGAAGGACGCCUAUCAGAUAUAAGCAGGGGAACUCAGAGAUAGUGCUGUCUGAAGUGACUGAUGUUUGGUGGCCCCCUCUGAAUCAGGAAGAACAGUCGUCCUGGAGUCGUAAACCCUGAGCAAUGAGCUUACACAGCUGUGCCCGAGGCUAUGAGGUCUUGACGCCACUCCCAGGUGCCAUCCCUCUCUGCCUGUGUCACCACGUACUGCGCCUGCUGAGUCUCCUGUUACUUUGCAC
ensembl:lncRNA